rnacentral:rRNA from 1 species
GACGAACGCUGGCGGCGUGCCUAAUACAUGCAGGUUGAGCGCUGAAGGUUGGUACUUGUACCAACUGGAUGAGCAGCGAACGGGUGAGUAACGCGUGGGGAAUCUGCCUUUGAGCGGGGGACAACAUUUGGAAACGAAUGCUAAUACCGCAUAAAAACUUUAAACACAAGUUUUAAGUUUGAAAGAUGCAAUUGCAUCACUCAAAGAUGAUCCCGCGUUGUAUUAGCUAGUUGGUGAGGUAAAGGCUCACCAAGGCGAUGAUACAUAGCCGACCUGAGAGGGUGAUCGGCCACAUUGGGACUGAGACACGGCCCAAACUCCUACGGGAGGCAGCAGUAGGGAAUCUUCGGCAAUGGACGAAAGUCUGACCGAGCAACGCCGCGUGAGUGAAGAAGGUUUUCGGAUCGUAAAACUCUGUUGGUAGAGAAGAACGUUGGUGAGAGUGGAAAGCUCAUCAAGUGACGGUAACUACCCAGAAAGGGACGGCUAACUACGUG